UCCACUGAUGGCGUCGAGCAUCGCCGAGGAUGUGAUCGAAUGCGGAAUAUUCUAAACGAGGAGCUUCAUUCCGGAUUUUGUUUGCAAUAAGCGCUGAACUCAUCCUCCAGCUUACAACGAACGGUCAACGGAUGAGGAAGGAGAGGAGGGACGGCAAAGGUACACGCACAAACGUGCACACCUCAGCCUUGUCAGAGAACGAGAACACGGAAGGGGGAGACCGGCAACGUAGGUUCUAUACGUUCUUCAUUUACGCUCCCUCGUGCGUUCGUGCGUGCGUGCACGUGCGCGUCUGUGUGUGUGUAUGUGUGUGCAUGCCUGCGUGCGUGGCUGUGUGUGUUUUUGCCGCUUCGCUUAACGAGAUCCUACGGGAUCACCUUGUGAAAAAACACCAAGAGAGGGGGAGGGGUAGGUGUAUGUGUAUGUGUGUGUAUGUGUGCUUGCAUGCGUACGUGGUUGUGAGUGUGUUUUUUGCUGUUUCGCGAUCUCCUACGGAAUCAAAAGGGGGUGUGGGGGAAACACGAGGGGGGGGGAGGAGUGAGUUGUGUGUUUGUGUGCUAGCCUGCAUGCGUGCGUGGCUUUGUCUGUGUGUGUUUUUGCGUUCGCGUUCUCCUACGGGAUCACCUUGCGAAAAACACCAUGGGGAGGAGGUGUGUGUGUGUGUUUUCUCUUCUUUGUCGUUUCGCGCUCUCCCGUGGGUCUCCUUGUGUGCGUUAGUUUUUUUGUUUUUCAAGAAGAAAAAAAAAUACUUCGAAAAAUACCAGUGGGGAGGGUGUGUGUAUGAAUGAAAGAAUGUGCUUAGAAAAAGAAAGUAGAAAAUAAAAAAAAUAUUGAACAACGGA